rnacentral:rRNA from 1 species
UACGAAGGGGGCUAGCGUUGCUCGGAAUCAUUGGGCGUAAAGCGCGCGUAGGUGGCUUCGUAAGUCCGUUGUGAAAGUCAAAGGCUCAACCUUUGAAAGCCGAUGGAUACUGCGGAGCUAGAGUACGGAAGAGGCGAGUGGAAUUCCUGGUGUAGCGGUGGAAUGCGCAGAUAGUCAGGAGGAACACCAAGUAGCGAAGGCAGCUCGCUGGGACGUUACUGACACUAAGGCGCGAAAGCGUGGGGAGCGAACAGG